AGCCUUGUGGUGAAAAUCAUAUUGGAUUGCAAAUCCGAAGGAGCAGAUUAGCAAUCUGCCGGGGCUU
rnacentral:tRNA from 1 species